rnacentral:misc_RNA from 1 species
GAAAACUAGGGUUUGGUUGGGUACUUUUGAUUCUGCUGAAGAUGCUGCUCGUGCUUAUGAUGCAGCAGCUCGUACUCUUCGUGGACCUAAAGCUAAAACUAAUUUCCCUUUACCUUCUUCUCAUCAUCUACCUCCAUAUCCUCACCAUCAUCAGUUCAACCAAAGCAUCAACCCUAACGAUCCCUUUGUCGAUUCCCGGUUAUACUCUCAGGACCACCCAUUAGUUUCACAGAGACCUACUUCAAGCAGCAUGAGUAGUACGGUGGAGUCCUUCAGUGGACCACGGCAGCCGCCGCGGCAGCAGACGGCAGCUUCCGUGCCUUCCAGAAAGUAUCCCCGGUCACCGCCUGUUGUCCCGGACGAUUGCCAUAGCGACUGUGACUCAUCGUCUUCUGUCGUUGAAGACGGUGAAUGUGAUAACGACAACAUCGCUUCUUCCUCUUUCAGAAAGCCGUUGCCUUUCGAUCUAAACUUACCGGCACCGAUGGAUGACUUCAGCGCCGACGCAUAUGCCGAUGAUCUUCACUGCACAGCACUAUGUCUUUGACGAAAUGAUGGUUUGUGACCCACCUGUCAUUUGAUACCACUGCUUACCUAGUUUUUCUUUCUUUUUUGGGUGACCGGAAAAAAAAACAAAAAAAAAAGAAGAGGAAGGAGCCAUAGAAGAUAAGCUAAACUAUGUCUGCUAUGAGUCAAUCUGUUGUUGUAAGAGUAUUCACUUGUUUAAUUUAAUUCUCAUAUUUUAUAUCAUGGGAUUUCUUGAUAGGUGGAUGGAUCAGUGUAUGUCAAAUUUGUUCUGAUUGUGUAUCUUAAAACUAUAUGUGACUUCUCAGCUGAAGGUGCCCUUUGUUGUUCGAAGUCGAAUUUAUAUAUAUUAUCGCGGAAGAUUAGAGGGUAACUUGUGUUCUUCCAUUGCUGUUAUCAUGUGUGUAUGAUGUUAUCUUCUGUCCUUUCAGUUUAUGUAACUAUUGAGACUGUAUCUGAUCAUAUAUCAGUUGAGAAGUAUUCAUAUUUUGGG